rnacentral:lncRNA from 1 species
GUGAUGGUUAUGGUAGGAGUAGUGAUGGUGGUGGUGGUUGUGGUGUGGCUAUUUGAUUCUCUCCAAGGUUAAUAGUCAAGUAACUCAUGACUACUUACCACGUGGCCAGAGACCCAAAUGAAGUCACUGUUACUACACUGUAAGAUAGUACACUCUAGCCUUACGGAUAUGCAGUUAGAGAGAAAACAUAUGAAUAUAAACAGCCAACACCUGCAUUGUGUGGAUCAUAUUAGGGUGCUCUAGAAGUGUGAGAAGUGUUUGAGGAAAAAAAGGACUGACUGAGCUGUUCUGGGAAGGAUGGGUAGAGAAUAAGUAAUGAGUAUGUUUCAGUGCUGAGAAACACAGCUCUCUUUUCCCAGGUAGCUCAAAAGAAUAUUCCCUUGAUACUUGAAGGAGGUAGGACAAGAUAAGGUGAAAACCAAUUCUUCUUUCAUCAGGAGGAGCGCAGCCCCUUGGCCUGAAGACGUCUCUGGUUCCAGUGAGUGGCUAUUUAGGGAGGAGGGAAACACUGCAGUGAGGUGGAGGAGCUGCAUUAUCUUUUCCUUCAUCUCUGAAGCCAGGCUGUGCCAGAGACUUACUACUUGAUUACACACUGCCUGCCUACUAACUGCCAGCACCUGCAUUUCUUUGCUGGAAGAUUUUACCUGACCUCUGGAGGCUGCCUGCCACCCAUGGGGUAGGUGGGAAUUGCUGGAAAAUUAACACCAUCUGGGGUCAGUUUACCAACAACUGACAGGAGUGGGUGUAUAGAUACCUCAGCUCCCUCACUCCUCAGUUGGGACAACACAGUAGUGUGUGUUCUACCCUGGCUUCCAGAGUUCUUCACUGAUAUGAAGCUCCAGGUGCAGACAGUGGCAGCUGGCUUGAUAAUGCACCCUUUAUUGGCUCACUUCCCCACCUGACUACUGGGGAUUCUUCCACCCUUAAAUAAACUACCUGCCCUUGAAUCCUUGAUUAAGGUUGUGCUUCUAGGGGCACCCAAACAAAGCCAGUAGGGAUGCAUGUAUGCUGUGCCACAUUUACCCUCGGGAAGUCCCUCCCAUGACUCCUGUAUGCAGGUGUGAGCUGACUGUGGGGAUGAGCAGCACAUUGCUAUCAUGAGC